rnacentral:rRNA from 1 species
AUGCCGGAUCCGGUUAGCAUUACUGCGGCUGUAGGAUGGGGCGUAACUGCACUAGGUUGGCUCGCCUCGCCCAUCGUUCCCAGAGUCCUCAACAAAGGUUUCGCCCUCCUUGACUUUAACGCCGCGGAAAAGCUCAAGAUACUUGAUAUACAAGUUUUGCAUCUGCAGCGGGUGAUGGAAGUAGUGGACGAGAGCACUUAUAGGGUUCGUUUGGAGCCACUGUUACACAAGCUUAAAUCUGCUUUCUACGAAGCCGAAGACAUCUUGGAUAGUGUCGAGUAUCAGCGCCUCAAGAAGCAGAUCCAAGAUCGCAAGUCAAACGGCAGUAAGAUUGAUUCGCUGAAGAAGAAUGUUCAGUCUGCCUUGCCAAGCUCCCCCCUACAAGAUAAGGAGAGUGGCAUGUCAAAAGUGGAGUUGAAGAAGAGCCUAGAGAAGAUAGAAAGUGCUGUAAAUGAUGCAUGUGAAAUUUUGAAACAACUGAACUUACCAGCUGUAAGUAAUGAUAAUGGGAGACCAGCUGUUGCUACCAAUUCACGUAGUGCAGGCAUUAGUCCUCCAGUACGUGUCAUUGGUCGAGAUAAGGAUCGCCACAAGAUCAUAGCAAUGCUACAUGAGAAGGAAAACCAGUGCCAAGCAAACGCCGUCAGCGGUACAUGUUAUUCCGUGAUUGGUAUUCAUGGCAUCGCUGGGUCUGGCAAAUCAACACUUGCACGGUGUGUUUAUGAUCAUGAGAAAAAGCAGAAGAAAGAAAAUAAGGACGGCCAUUUUGAGAUUGUCAUCUGGGUUCAUGUUUCUCAGAAAUUUGAGUUGGAUUCCAUUUUCAGGGACAUGUUUGAGGGGGCUACACGGGAAGUAUGCCCGGAUUUUAAUAGUCUUCAUGCCUUAAAAGAAAAUCUAGAGGAAAAACUGUGUGCAAAACGGAUUCUGUUGAUACUGGAUGAUGUCUGGUACAACAGUAGGAAUUCGGAAGACCAUGAAGAACUACAAAAGUUAAUUUCUCCGCUGAAUGUUGGGAAGGCAGGAAGCAGAAUCUUGGUGACUAGUCGAACUGAAGAUGCAUUAUUAGCUCUGGGUGCUGCUCAAGAGAGAUGUAUUCCAAUAUCUGACCUGGAUGAUGAAGUAUUCCUCGAAAUGUUCAUGUAUUAUGCACUUGGAGAUGCAAGGGUAGGUGGCCAUGAUCGAAGAGAACUUGAAACGAUUGGAGAGGACAUUGCAAAAAAGCUUAAGAGAUCACCUCUAGCAGCCAGAACAGUAGGUGCACGGCUGCGUAAAAACCUGAAAGUCGAGAUUUGGAUGAGGGAGAAGGAUCGGGACCUUCUGAAAGAGACAAUGGGAGCUCUGUGGUGGAGCUACCAGUAUCUUGAUGAGCAGGUCAGGCGAUGCUUCACUUACUGCAGUAUUUUUCCAAGACGGCAUCAGUUGACACGUGAUGAGUUAGUUAAGUUGUGGGUGGCAGAAGGGUUUAUAAAGACUAGUAGAGCUGAAGAGGAAAUGGAAGAUGUUGCUCGGGAUUACUUUGAUGAAUUGGUGUCGGCCUCAUUUCUGCAACUAGGAGGGAAACAAGAAAAUAUUCUUGGACAUGAUGGUGUGGUUGAUUACUUUACCAUUCAUGAUCUGCUUUGUGAUUUAGCGGAGGACGUUUCUGGAAGAGAUUGCUUCAGGAUUGAGAAAGGCUUCACAGGAGAAGUUCCUCAAGAUGUUCGCUACCUUUUUGUUGGGAGUUAUAAUAGAGAGAUGCUUACUGAGAAGAUGUCUGGAUUGAAACAUUUACGCACUCUCAUUAUCAAUGACAUCAUAUGGCUUAAAUCAGAUGAGUCUGAAUUCUUAGCGAGUAUGUUCACUAUGUUGACAGGGCUGCGGAAAUUGCGGGUACUGAAUUUGAGAGUAGCACGUGAGAGGAGUGGAUUUGGUUUUUCAUUCUCAUUCCCGGAUUCUAUUGGUCAGUCGAAGCAUCUGCGUUAUUUUGGUUUCAUGGUUCCAGUACUUCACAAGCUAACUUUACCAGGUGCUUUUACCAAGCUUUACCACAUGCAGGUGGUAGAUUUUGGUCAUUGCAAAUUUUUGGCUUUUUCUAGAGGUGAAGAUAUGAUGAACCUUGUCAACCUGCGCCGUGUAAUCAGCAAGGCAGAUCUUGAUUUUCCGAACGUUGGGGCAGGCUGA